rnacentral:rRNA from 1 species
AAACCUGAGGAACCCGAAAGAUCGAAUGGGAAGAUUCAGCGUCAGCGGCGCUUGCUCGGCGGGAUCGUGCGUCGUCUCGGAUCGGAUUCUUCCUGUCCUGUGGCGACGGUAAUCUUUCCAUGCCCUGUUUCGGCGUCGUAGACGUGCACUUCUCCCCUAGUAGAACGUCGCGACCCGUUGGGUGCCGGUCUACGGUCCGAGCGGGUUAGACUGUCGCGUCGCUUAGGCGCACGCGGCAGACCCUCGGAGAUCCGGCCGGCUGCCCGGCGGUCGAACUUAUAUAAGGUAUCUUGCCGCAAUUGAACUAACUGCGUCGCGGCCCGUCGCAAGCGAGGCCAGUUAAGUGUUUAUCGCGCGCGCGGAGUUACGGACCCGGUGCCGUACCCGCGGCUGGCCGGCUGUUGGCAGGCGGAGUCCUUCGACGGGCAAUACACAUAAACGAUACCGGUCUGCGACGCUACUGCUUUGGGUACUCUCAGGACCCGUCUUGAAACACGGACCAAGGAGUCUAACAUGUGCGCGAGUCAUUGGGACUGCGAAGCCUAAAGGCGCAAUGAAAGUGAAAGUCGUGCCAAUUAAAAAAGGUCGACCGAGGGAGGAUGGGCCGCGUUUGCGCGCGGCUCCGCACUCCCGGGGCGUCUCGUUCUCAUUGCGAGAAGAGGCGCACCCAGAGCGUACACGUUGGGACCCGAAAGAUGGUGAACUAUGCCUGGUCAGGACGAAGUCAGGGGAAACCCUGAUGGAGGUCCGUAGCGAUUCUGACGUGCAAAUCGAUCGUCGGAACUGGGUAUAGGGGCGAAAGACUAAUCGAACCAUC